rnacentral:rRNA from 1 species
AUUGAACGCUGGCGGCAUGCCUUACACAUGCAAGUCGAACGGUAACAGGUUAAGCUGACGAGUGGCGAACGGGUGAGUAAUACAUCAGAACGUGCCCAGUAGUGGGGGAUAGCCCGGCGAAAGCCGGAUUAAUACCGCAUACGACCUAAGGGUGAAAGGGGGGGAUCGCAAGACCUCUCGCUAUUGGAGCGGCCGAUGUCAGAUUAGCUAGUUGGUGGGGUAAAAGCUCACCAAGGCGACGAUCUGUAGCUGGUCUGAGAGGACGACCAGCCACACUGGGACUGAGACACGGCCCAGACUCCUACGGGAGGCAGCAGUGGGGAAUUUUGGACAAUGGGCGCAAGCCUGAUCCAGCCAUGCCGCGUGCGGGAAGAAGGCCUUCGGGUUGUAAACCGCUUUUGUCAGGGAAGAAAUCCUUUGGGUUAAUACCUCGGGGGGAUGACGGUACCUGAAGAAUAAGCACCGGCUAACUACGUG